CCUGCUGAGUUUAAGCAUAUCAAUAAGCGAAGGAAAAGAAACUAACAAGGAUUCCCUUAGUAACGGCGAGCGUACCGGGAAGAGCCUAGCUUGAAAAUCAGACGUCUUCGGCGUUCGAAUUGUAGUCUGGAGAAGCAUCCUCAGCGACGAACCUGGCCCAAGUUCCCUGGAAAGGGCGCCAGAGAGGGUGAGAGCCCCGUCUUGCCCGGACCCUGUCGCACCAUGAGGCGUAAUCUACGAGUCGGGUAGUUUGGGAAUGCAGCCCCAAUAGGGCGGUAAAUUCCGUCCAAGACUAAAUAUAGGCGAGAGACCGAUAGCGAACAAGUACCGCGAGGUAAAGAUGAAAAGGACUUUGAAAAGAGAGUCAAAGAGUGCUUGAAUUGUCGGGAGGGAAGCGGACGGGGGCCGGCGAUUCAUCCCGGUCGGAUGCGGAACGGAGCAAUCCGGUCCGCUGAUCGAUUCGGGCCGUGGACCGACACAGAUUGAGGUGGUGACCUAUACCGAAGCUUUUUGUUACGCCCGCGGAGACGUUGCUGCCUUAAUCGUGGUCUGCAGCAUGCGCCUCACGGCGUGCCUUGGCAUCUGCGUGCUCAAGGCGUCGGCCUGUGGGCUCCCCAUUCUACCCGUUUUGAAAUACGG
rnacentral:rRNA from 1 species